rnacentral:misc_RNA from 1 species
GAUGAAGAACGUAGCGAAAUGCGAUACGUAAUGUGAAUUGCAGAAUUCAGUGAAUCAUCGAGUCUUUGAACGCACAUUGCGCCCCCUGGUAUUCCGGGGGGCAUGCCUGUCCGAGCGUCAUUGCUGCCCUCAAGCACGGCUUGUGUGUUGGGCCUCCGUCCUCCUCCCGGGGGACGGGCCCGAAAGGCAGCGGCGGCACCGCGUCCGGUCCUCGAGCGUAUGGGGCUUCCUCACCCGCUCUUGUAGGCCCGGCCGGCGCUUGCCGACACAUCAAUCUUUUUUCCAGGUUGACCUCGGAUCAGGUAGGGAUACCCGCUGAACUUAAGCAUAUCAAUAAGCGGAGGA